UGAGAGGUCCUGCCUGCCCCGUGACCAUGUGUUCAACGGCCGCGGUAUUUUGACCGUGCAAAGGUAGCGCAAUCACUUGUCUUUUAAAUAAAGACCUGUAUGAAUGGCAAGACGAGGGCUUGACUGUCUCCUUUUUCAAGUCAAUGAAAUUGAUCUUCCCGUGCAGAAGCGGGAAUUUUUCCAUAAGACGAGAAGACCCUAUGGAGCUUCAGACACUAAGACAGAUUAGGUCAAAGCCCCCUAAUAAAGGACUGAACUGACUAACCCCUGCCCUAAUGUCUUCGGUUGGGGCGACCCCGGGGAAUUACAAAACCCCCGAGUGGAAAGAGAGCACCCCCCCCCCCCUUUUUACCCUUACAACUAAAAACCCCCCCUCUAAAAAAAAAAAUUUUUAACCAAAACAAAUCCGGCAAAGCCAAUAAACGGACCAAUUUACCCUAGGGAAAAAAGCGCAAUCCUCUUUCAAAAUCCCUAUCGACAAAAGGGUUU
rnacentral:rRNA from 1 species